rnacentral:lncRNA from 1 species
GAGAAGACAGUAAGGCAAAGAGCAGUCAAAGAUAAGGUAGUUUCCUUUUCUAACAGUCUGGCUAAGUUGGAACUAAAUUUUUGUUUGUUUGUUUGUUUGUUUGUUUCUUGUAAAUCUGUUUUAGUUCUUUGUAGAUUCUGGAUAUUAGCCCUUUGUCAGAUGGGUAGAUUGCAAACAUUUUUUUCCCAUUCUGUUGGUUGUCAGUUCACUCUAACGAUUGUUUCUUUUGCUGUACAGAAGCUCUGGAGUUUAAUUAGAUCCAAUUUAUCUAUUUUGGCUUUGUUGCCAUUGCUUUUGGUGUUUCAGUCAUGAAGUCCUUUCCUUGUCUAUGCCUAUGCCCUGAGUGGUUUUGCCUAGGCUUUCUUCUGGGGUUUUUAUGGUGUUAGGACUUAUGUUUAAUGCUUUAAUCCAUCUGGAGUUAAUUUUAGUGUAAGGUGUCAGGAAGGGGUCCAGUUUCAGCUUUCUGCACAUGGCUAGGCCAGUUUUCCCAAAACCAUUUAGUAAACGGGGAAUCCUUUCCCCAUUACUUGUUUUUGUCAGGUUUGUCAAAGAUUAGAUGGUUGUAGAUGUGUGGUGUUGCCUCCGAGGGCUCUGUUCUGCUCCAUUGGUCUAGAUCUCUGCUUUGAUACUGGUACCAUGCUGUUUUGAUUACUUUAGCCUUGUAGUGUAGUUUGAAGUCAGGUAAUGUGAUGCCUCCAGCUUUGUAUUUUUUGCUUAGAAUUGACUUGGCUAUGCAGGCUUUCUUUUGGUUCCAUAUGAAGUUUAAGGUGGUUUUUUCCAGUUCUGUGAAGAAGGUCAUUGGUAGCUUAAUGGGGAUAGCAUUAAAUCUAUAAAUUACUUUGGGCAGUAUGGCCAUUUUUAUGAUGUUGAUUCUUCCUAACCAUGAGCAUGGAAUGUUUCUCCAUCUGUUUGUGUACUUUCUUAUUUCCUUGAGCAGUGGUUUGUAGUUCUCCUUAAAGAGGUCCGUCACAUCCUUUCUUAGUUGUAUUCCUAGGUAUUUUAUUCUCUUUGUAGCAAUUGUGAAUGGCAGUUCAUUCUUGUUUUGGCUCUCAU